UAAAAUGUGUAUAAAAUGUGUAAAAAGUUAUCUUGCAAGUCUUUAAAGGGGACCUAUUAUGCGUAAUUCAUAACUAUACCUGUUCUAUCUCCAAGCAGUAUAUUCUGUUUCUGACAUUAUCAGACAUCCCAAGUCUCCCGGAAGUUCCGGGAGUCUCCCGCAUAUUGAUAGCGGCUCCCUGAUGCCCGCAAAUUAGUUAAAAUCUCCCGGAAUCUAGAGCGAGCGAGCAAGAGCGCGCAUAGAGACUGUGUUUCAAACCAGCGCGCGCACGGCAGAGAGGGAGAGGGAGCGAGAGAGAGACCUUGCGUGUGUGUGCGAAGCGCAUGUAUGACAGAGAGCAUCCCGAAUGUCCUUUUUCGGCAAAUCAACCAAUCAAUUAUCAGUGAGAUUGCCAAGAUGUCAUCGGAAUACCCCCCACUGGAUAUACGCAACGACAUGAUUGCACAUUUCCCAGUAAAGACGAAGAGAGGACGCUGUAGACACUGCAAUAAUGGAUACACAAAUACACUGUAGCAAGUGCAAUGUUUGCCUGUGCUUCUCAAAUGA